rnacentral:ncRNA from 1 species
UAUUGUUUGAACUGUACCUUUACCGAACGAAUUGGAACCUAUAACAAGAGCUCUUUUGUAAUCUUGUAAUGUACCGGUGACAAUUUCCGAUGCGGAAGCCGAACCUCUAUUUAUCAACACUACUACCGGAAUAUUAGAAUAAUCCGGUUUUUUCUGGGUGUAAUAAUAUUGUUCCAUCGUUUUAUCUUUACAUUUUGUGGAAACAACCAAACUGUCUUCCUUGAUAAACAAACUGCAUAUAUUUAUUGCUGAAUCCAAUAAUCCACCGGGAUUAUUUCUUA